UACGUAGGGUGCGAGCGUUAAUCGGAAUUACUGGGCGUAAAGCGUGCGUAGACGGUAGCGUAAGUCGGGUGUGAAGCCCGGGCUCAACCUGGGAAUUGCAUUCGAGACUGCUCUGCUAGGGUGCGGAAGAGGGAGCGGAAUUUCCGGUGUAGCGGUGAAAUGCGUAGAUAUUCGCAGAACACCAGUGGCGAAGGCGGCCAACUGGACCAUUACUGACGCUGAGGUGCGAAAGCGUGGGAGCAAACAGG
rnacentral:rRNA from 1 species